rnacentral:rRNA from 1 species
GGGCUCACACAAGCGGUGGAGCAUGUGGCUUAAUUCGAGGCUACGCGAAGAACCUUAUCCUAGGCUUGACAUGUGCGAAAGCGCUGGGAAGUAGAAACCCGAAAGGGCAACCAACGGUAUCCAGUCCGGAACCCAGUACAGGUGCUGCAUGGCUGUCGUCAGCUCGUGUCGUGAGAUGUCGGGUUAAGUCCCAUAACGAGCGAAACCCUUGCCUCCAGUUGCCAGCGCGUCAUGGCGGGGACUCUGGAGGGACUGCCGGUGUUAAACCGGAGGAAGGCGGGGAUGACGUCAAGUCCUCAUGGCCUUUAUGCCUAGGGCUGCACACGUGCUACAAUGCCGCGAACAAAGGGACGCCAACGCGCAAGCGGGAGCAAAUCCCAAAAAACGCGGCCCAGUUCAGAUUGAAGGCUGCAACUCGCCUUCAUGAAGUUGGAAUCGCUAGUAAUCGCAGGUCAGCAACACUGCGGUGAAUGUGUUCCUGAGCCUU